ACGAGGCAAGCCGAGGUCACAAUAGGCGAGGUAAGGUGGUUAGAACUGAAGACCACUCUUGAAGCCUUCCUUCCUUCGACCCCUUCGGAUUUUGGCUUUUAGGAAUCUUUUGUAACUUCACUUGUACACCCCUUUGAAAAAUUAAUGAAAUGAUCUUUUAUUCUUACAUCUCCCGAGUGACUGGAUAAUCACAACAAGAAAACAAGGCUUUUGUGACGACCAACAUUCGUCACAUAAAAAUGAAAAAUCAUCACAUUUGACUAUAUAUGACGAAAUUUCAGCGCCACAAUUAACAUCACCUAUACAGCGUCACUGAUAGUUUAAGUGACGAAUAUUGGAGUCGCCACAUAUUUUCUUUUUACAUGACGCUUCUUCCAUCACUUAUUAUUCUAAUAUGUGAUUAAAUUAGCAUAAAAAAAUACAAAAUUUAGUGACCUAUGUUUUUCAUCUCAUAUCAGACUUAUAAGUGACGCUUUUUGGGUCACUCAAUAUGAUCCCAGAAUUAUAAUUAUACUAAGUGACGCUAAAAUCGUCACAUAUAACUAUUUAGGAAUAAUAUUUGAGGAAUCCAUUACUUAUUCGUGUUUCGUAAUCUAGAAUAGCAACUCAUAACAAUUAUAAGGUAAUACUUCCCAUUUUCAUUAAUCAACAAUUAAACCACAUAAGUUCGAAUAUGUUCAACAACUAUACAUUCAACAAAAUAACAUAAACAUCCCAAAAUCAAUCUAACCCAUGGUGACCUAUCUUAAUAAUAGCAAUUUGUGAAGAAGGGUACCAAGGUCUAUACAUGGACCGUUUAAGGUACUAACUAACAAAAGAAAAGUCUAAGACACAUUGAGGUGCUAACAAAAAGGUUUACCAUAUGCAUACUUAACUAAUAACAAAAGACAUAACUAUCGAAAUCAUUCUUCUUUCGAGUAAUGUUCUUCCAUUUUAGGAUAAACAUUUUCACUAGAAGAGUUAUUACCAUCAGAUUCCUUCGAGUUGUUGCUGGUUUGCCCUUGACUUGCAGCCAAAAGAGCCAUAAUUUUUUAUGCCAAGGUUUCAUCAUCAUUUUGUAAAUUCAACUGAGCUCUCAAUUGUUCAUUUUCCUGUUGCAAUUUGAGGAAACCAUCUAAUAGAAUCUUGAUCUGAUCACUCAUAUUAGUUAACUCAGAACUUGAAGCCAUAGAAGAAACACAGCUAAAGGUAUCUGUAUGAGGGAAAAGACCUACACCGUUAACAGAUUUUCCCUUCCUUCCAAGGUUCUCAGCCAUGAUUCCAAAUUCAUUUUCCAAUGGUACUUGUAUGGAAUCAAAUAUAGUACCCUGAGGCGCUUCUUGGAUUAGCUUCUCCUUAAAUUCAUCCUUCUUUUUUUCAUGUUAUCCUUUCAUAUUAAAAUACAAACAAAUAAGUUUCUUUUGUUUCAAACAAAUCAGCCACAAUAUGCUUAAGAAAACACCACUUAAAUACUCGGAUGUGAUCCUGAACUGAUGUAGAAGCAAACCAUUGGGUAUAAACUGUCUUUACAUAUGAUUUUGUAGUUUAUGCUUCAAUGUGUUUUACAUAGGAUUAGGCAACAUACAACGUAUAAACUUUAAAGUAGUUUAUGUUUGAAUGUAUGUUAGGUAUAACCUUUUAGCUUCUAGCUAGUUAUAUUAAGUUUUUGUUCAAUUCAAUCUUGCAUGUUCACUUUAUUUUUGUUUCCUAAGUUGUAUAAUGUCAAAUUUGAUUUUUUUUAAUCUCCAUCUCCCUUAAAAUGACACAAAUGAUAAGUCUGUGAAUGACUUACAUAUUUGUCCCGGGCAACAUCAUUUAUCCACUGACCGUUCUUGUCUUUAUGGAGAGCCCCCCAAUUGUCAAUCACAGAUAAUGGAUUUCCUUUCUGCUCAAUAAUGCAGAAACAUACAUUAGAAUAUGUAAAUUCCAUAAUGAGUAUAAUAAGUAAUUUAAUUUCAUUACCAUUUGGGCCUUCCUAGCGUGUUGGAUAAAUGGCCUUGCCCUUCCUUUGUGGCGAUACUUCUGUUUCUUCCUAUUAUCAGCAUUUUGCUUUGAAAGCUCCUACAUUACACAUUUGGUACAUAACAUACAAAAGAAGAUUUAGUUAGCUAUACAUGUGUACAAUUUGGAAAGUUUCAAGCUCUCAAACUUGUUAUAUAUAACGUCAUGUAUUUCAGUUGUACAUAUUCGUUCACCUUAGAUGGCUAUCUCACCUCACCUUCUAUAUUCUCUCGGUCAACAAUGUUAGAAACAUCACAAGCUAAGGAGAGAAAUAUAUAAACACCAAGCUUAAGGAAAUUGAAUGGAAGAUACUCUUUCUUCUACCAAGGGCAUUAGGCUAACACAGUUAGUCAAAUGAGUAUAUGAUAACCAUUUUCAAACAUUAAAUUUUAACUCUAAAUUACCUAAGUGUCAAGAAGUAACAGUCAACAAACUUCAAAUUUUGACUCAAAAUUACCUAAGUGUAAAGAAGUAACAAUCAAUUUAACCACAAGGUGAAAUUCAUUAAUGCAUGUUAGGAUAUUUUUAUUUCAAAUAUGGCUAUUGAAACUAUUAGACGAUAUGGGGUGACUGAUGCUACAUAUAACUAAUUUUACAUGACAGAUGAUGUAUACAUAUGGGGUGACUGAUUAUUAAACGAUAAGGGGUGACUGAUGUUGCAUAACUAAUGUUGCAUAUGACUGAUGUUGCAUAUAUAUAGGGUGACUGAUGCUGCAUACUGACUGAUUAUUAGACAAUAUGGGGUGACUGAUGCUGCAUAUGGAUAUUAGAUGAUACGGGGUGACUGAUGCUGCCAAAUUUUAUGUUUCCUCUUUCCAUGGGAUUCUCUAUUAAGUCUAGUCCCUUAAUUUGAGGAAGUUUGACAUCUAGAUGACUUGUUGAUAGUUGUGUGCUAGCUACUUGCUGCACUUUCUUUAUUUAAGGAGUGACAGCUUUAUGGUUUACCGGGUUAGUAGGAUUUCCAAGGUAGGGUUACUUGUAACCUUCUACCUCAUUAUAUAUCCCCCCCCCUUGUACAUUCAAUCAAUCUAUGAAAAAUACAUUCAAACAAGCUUAAAAUUUCCACUGAAUCAAAGGUUAUAUUACCUUUGCCAUAUUCCUAAUUCUAACCUAAUUAAAUAGGUGUUUGAGCAUAUUUGAAAAUUACAAGUAAAAAAGUGUGUGGCUGUAUAGCCAAGUAAGCUAAGAUACAUAAAUCCUAUCCUAAUAAAAUAUAAACGUUAUAGACAAACAACAUGAGAUCUUAAUCACACUCAAAGAAACAAAAUUCAUUUAAAACAAACAGUUGAAACACUAAUCGGUGGCCUGCAAAAUGACACUAAGUAGAUGAGUUCCAUAAGAACAAAUUAGAUGAAUAAAGCCACCAACUACUAGACAGGGAAAAUCUCAAUAAAUAAAAGGAAAAUAUGAAACAAAAAGUAACAAAGCCAAGAUGCAGAAAUUUUAGCCAUAAAUACUGAAUUUAAAGAACGAACACAAAAAAUGUCUAUGAAUUUCACUUUGUAAGGAUUGACCAGCCUACAACUAAAAUGAAAAUGAAGAAACAUAUAAGGUAAGAGCUAGAAUGCAAGAGUUAUAACUAGAAACACUAUAUUCGAAGAACAUAACAAGUCACAAUUUCACAUUGGAAAAUUAAGCAGAUGACAACCAAAAUGAAAAUGAAGCAUAAAAGGUUAGAGGUUCUGACUAUAAAAAUUGAAUUUGUAUAACAUGACAAGAAGUCUUCAUGUUGAAAGAAUUGGUUUCUAACUUGGAUUUAUACUAGAAAAUAUUAUAUAGAAUACAUACCAAAAAGAGUGUAGUAUUGCAAACAUUAUCACAUAACCAAUCACAAUGACUCUUUGGUCUCCCAUUCCAUAUCAUAUCAUUUGGAAGCUUAGCUCGUCCUCUUGCAGGUGUCCCACAUGACAAGUAGUGCAGAUGCAACCGGUGCCUAAACUGGGAGUACAACUUUGCCAUCUUCUUGUGAACAUAUUCAAUAAUCUUCGAAUGGGAUAUGUCCACAACAAAUAAUACCUAUUGUUAAACAUAAAUAUAUGCAAGUGAGUGCUUGAAAUUACAAUGAAUAAAUUGAAUUAAAUUCAAAAAUCACAAGCAACUUCUCUUGCAGUUUCAUCUUUUCUGAAGCUGGGACCUUAAACCAUCUCUCAUAGCAAACCGGUGAAUAAGUCCGAACAAUAUUCCUUAUCUCGGACGUGAAAAAACCUGACACAACUGGAUCACUUGGAACUUGAUGUUUAAAAUCAAAGAUGAUUGGCAUCUUCAGCCUGUUAUUGGCCUCCAAAAUAUCAUGGACGCCUUUCCCACAUGAGUUUCCACAAGUCAUCUUUUUUGCAAAAAAAUCAAUAUCUGCCUCUAGAAAAAUAUACGUAUCUCUAAUCAAUGUAAUGUGUUGUUUAAAACUAUGUUAAUAAGGAAGAAGUAAAUAAUUGUAACUACCUUUCUUACCUGGGUUAGUGUUUAUUGGCGAAGGUGCAGGUGGUGAUGGAAAAGGUGUUGGUGCAUGAGUUGCAAGUGCAUCAUUUGGAGGAGAAGGUAAGGGAUCCCUCACCCGUUUCACCCUAUUUCCUCGCAGAGGUGUAGGUGGUGGUGGAGGUGGUGGUGUGGUGGUGGCGGAGGAGGUGGCAGAGGAAGUGGUGGUGGCGGUGCAAAUGCAUCAUUCGGAGGAGGAGGUAAGGGAUUCCUCACCCGCUUCACCCUCUUUCUGAAGGAUUAUUUUGUGAAAACAUGUUCUUUUAAGCAACAUCAAUAAGCAUGCAAUUAACAAUUAAAGGCGGAAUCAUGCUUGCAUGCACUUAAAAACAAA
rnacentral:lncRNA from 1 species